rnacentral:lncRNA from 1 species
AAAAAUAUAUACUUUAAAGUUAACUUAAGUUUUCAUAAAUUUUUGUUUUCUUCUCUUAACAAGUUUUGUUGGCUUUAAUGUCUCUUGUCUUCUGUAUUUCUAAACUAUCAUUUCUGAGCUCUAACUAUACUGUCAGAACCUUCGAACUCAGUGUCUGUUACCUGCCCUGUAUGUACUCUUCAUUGACUAUCCUGUAAUUCUCAGUUUGUCUAUUGCAUAUCAGGAUGUUUCCAGUAAAAUAAAGAUUUAAUGUAUACAGUCAGUAAUUGUGUGUGAAAAGAAACUGUCUAGUACUAGAUAUUGAAUUUUAAAGAGGCUAAAGUAGAUUUAGACUAAUUUCCACUAGAGUAAUUUUAGUCUUCCCAUAAAUUUUCAGUGUAUAAAAUGCAGUUAGUUUGAUUGUUGUGUAUUUAUUGCUCCCUUUUCAACUGAUUUCCUUUCCCAGUCACUUCCAUAUUUUGGACAUGAGGGAUUUCUUAUAUUUUAAUCAAAGAAGAUUUUGAUGGUAAACUUCCUAUGAAAUUUGUGUAGAUGAAUACUUUGCACAUUCAGUUCUCUUAGGUAAAAAUGAAAAAGAGAAGAAAGACUAGAAUCAAAGUGAAGAAUUUUCUAGAAACAGCUAUAAAUUGUCUCUUAACUGCUGGAAUAUCUGGUAACUUCCCAUAUCUAACCAAAUACAUUGAUUUGGCAUUGCAGCCCUCAACCAAAUUCUACCACAUUCAUUAAGUGUUUGAGAAGUGGGAUUAAUAAUACUGUAAUAAAAUUUAUGUG